AUUGAACGCUGGCGGCAGGCCUAACACAUGCAAGUCGAACGGUAACAGGAAACAGCUUGCUGUUUCGCCGACGAGUGGCGGACGGGUGAGUAAUGUCUGGGAAACUGCCUGAUGGAGGGGGAUAACUACUGGAAACGGUAGCUAAUACCGCAUAACGUCGCAAGACCAAAGAGGGGGACCUUCGGGCCUCUUGCCAUCGGAUGUGCCCAGAUGGGAUUAGCUAGUAGGUGGGGUAACGGCUCACCUAGGCGACGAUCCCUAGCUGGUCUGAGAGGAUGACCAGCCACACUGGAACUGAGACACGGUCCAGACUCCUACGGGAGGCAGCAGUGGGGAAUAUUGCACAAUGGGCGCAAGCCUGAUGCAGCCAUGCCGCGUGUAUGAAGAAGGCCUUCGGGUUGUAAAGUACUUUCAGCGGGGAGGAAGGGAGUAAAGUUAAUACCUUUACUCAUUGACGUUACCCGCAGAAGAAGCACCGGCUAACUCCGUG
rnacentral:rRNA from 1 species